CUGUACAUCUAAUUUUGAUAUUCUUUUCUUAUUUACGAUCAGCUAUUUUCUAUCACUAUUUCUUCUUUCUUCUCCAUAAUGGUGAAGACUGAGCCGCGACAAAAGCAACAAAAUGAUGGUGAAGACGGAACAGAGGAGGAGGCAAUAAAAUAACGGUGAAGAUGUAAUGUCGUCAGCGGCAGCAGCUAAACUAUGGUGAGGCAGAACGGUAACGACAACGACUGAGAAGGCAGAACAACGAUUUUUCUCUCUAUUCCAUAAUUUGUUUUGUCUCUUUGUGUUCAAUUUGGAAUUUAUGUAGUCAAUCCUUCUAAUUAUUUUGCUUGUGAACAAACUAGGGUUUAUGAACAAACUUGUUAAAUUAAUUGAUAACUAGUGAUGAUUUUAAUUGAUAACAAUUGUUUGUUUGUAAUGUUCAUUAGUUGAUUAGUUGAUUAGAAUCAAUUAGAUACAUAGGCUGCUUUAUUGUAUCUAAUUAACUUUUAUUUUGUUUAUUUGUGGUUUGAUGUUCGAUCAAUAGGAAUUAUCUUAUCAUGUUUAAAUUGAAUUUACAUUUUGAGGUUAGUUGUUGCCACUUACGUUUAUUUCUUAUGGAAUAUUUGGUUAUUUAGUGGGAAAUGGAUGCUUAUUUUUCUGAAUUGAUGUUUUCUUUUACUGAUUUAUGGAAAAACAUAAAAUAGAUAUGAAAUUAACGGGGUAAUCACAAUUAUGGGUUGUGAUAACUAAUGUUGAUUUUGUAUUUUUUUAAGAAAUCUUAUGUUAUGUUUGUCUAACAAAUUGCUUCUGAAGGGUUCAAACACCGUGUGUUUGAGAUCUCGCUAGCUGACCUUCAAGGUUAUGAGGAUCAAGCUUAGAAAAAAGAUCAGGCUGAGAGUUGAAGAUGUUCAAGGGAAGAAUGUCUUGAUUAAUUUCUGGUUACAAUAGAGCAGCUAAAAGUGCUACUGAAUUUCAAUUGCGUGUGGAGAUUAAACACCUGUUAAAAGAGGCCAGCUUCUACUCAUAGUCAUUAUGGUUUGCUCAGGCAGCAAAAUCUAGGAGGUUGGCAGCUGCAAAGAAGAGGGAACUUGCAAAUUAUAAUGAUAUUAUGUGUGAUCUGCAUACAAGAGUCUUAAUUUUAAAUAGACAUACUAGGAAGGAAUAGCCAACACAUGCAGAACCCACACCCUUUUAAACAUUUAGCUCCAACCUAUGCAGCAAAUGAAUUCGAUUGUUGUUUGCUCUUUUUUAUUGUUUUUACUGGAUUAGUAUAUGUAGAGCAGGUCUGCUCAAAACUCUAACAAAUGCUCUUUUGGUUUUUCAAUAUUCUGUUAAUUUUCAUGA